UUGCAGUCAGAUGAUUCCAAGCUUGAUUUUUUGAUUCACUACUGACAUAAGAGUCAUUAGGCAAAUUUCUUAAUCCUUCUGAAGGCCAAUUUUCUCAUCUAUAACACAGAAGUAAUAUCUGUCUUAUAGAGAUUUUGUAAAGAUUAGAUGAGAUGAAGUUGGCCUGGCAUUCAAAUUGUGGAUGCCAAUAUUAUACUAUUUAUGAUGAAUUUUCCCUCAAGCAGAAGAGAAUUUAUAUAAAGUUCAUUUAUGUCUGUGGUUGAAAUAUCUGCAUUGUUAUGUAAGGUUUAUUUGUGACACACACUAUAUUCUUGCUUAUCUUCCUGCUAGUGGUAUGCACUUUUGACUCUUGCAGCUAUUUCUUUUUGUGACAACUUCCAGAUACCUUACAAAUCUUACUUCUUGUUUUUAUGAUUGCAUGUGUCACAUGUUUGUUGAUAUAGAAGAUGAGAAAGAAGAUUGUUUCUGUAGUGCCUUGUUUUCCUCAACAUACCUGCAGGUUCUCACAUGCUGCCCCUUCUCUUCUUUUUGUUAAUAAUAAUUUUAGCUAGAUCAAUAUUCAGCUCUUUACUGAUUUGACUGUGUAAAUAUUAACCAAAUGUCAUGGACAUAAGAUAUACCAUAACUUCUUUGCUAUCUAAGGCUGAGUUAUUUUCUCUGCAGUUGUUAGAUGUCUUGUUUACUUAUUUUGUUUUGUUUUGUUGUAUGUGUAAAAUUUAUCAAAUCUCCAUCAUAUGAGCAAAUGACUUAUUACCUUCAUAUACUUGGAGAAAUGUCUCCUGGAGCUUUCUGAUCUGCUGAAAUCUGGAAGCAGCAGCUGUGAAAGCCCAGACACCAGGAAGUUUAUUUAUUCUUUAGUUCUUCCAAAUGGAAAAUAUCAAAUUCUGCUGCUAAGAAAGUCAAACAAGCAAACAAAUAAAAUCCAAGACAACUCCCUUCCUUUUCUCCAAGUCACAGAAUAUAAAGGAACUGCAAUGGAACAAAUGAGUGCAGAAAAUCAGGAGGGGAGGGUGGCAAGAUGAGCUCUCCCAAUACUUAAAACACUGUGAUACAUACAGCACAAGGUAAGACAAAUGAAAAUGAGCGGUACUAAUGAGCGACUGAAUUGUUAGGGAAUAAUGAGAAGAAAAAGUUAUGUUCAGAACAGAUGCAGCUUUGUUUUCAAAUAUUUUUAAUCCAUAGUUGGUUGAAUCAACAAAUGGGGAAUCUGCAGAUAUGGUGGUCUGGCUGUAUAUAUACUUCGGGACCAAACAAGGUCAGAGAUUGGACUGUCUGGUAAACAGAGGCAGAGGCAAAAAUACUAGAGAUGGUUUGUAUUGACUCAGAUUGUUAAGAGGGAGUAGAGCAGCAUAGUCCUUGUAUGGUCAGAAGGGUUCAGACCAUGGGCAAAGUCUUAAACUAGAUCAUCUGGCAAACUUGUAAAUUGCCAGGGCCAGGGGAUGAAGGAUUCUGGGUACUCAGCCAUAGGCUUCUUGCUCUUUGCCCUGGUAGUAGCAUCUACUUAGUCAGAUGGGUAUGCUUGACUGUUAUACCUGAGAAUCAAUCGGCUUUUUCUGGAUCAUGCAGCAUGUAGAGAAUUAGAAUUUGAUCCUAGAACUUACAAGCACCAGCUGUUCAUCAGAGCUAGCAUUUCAAUACACAUCAAAUUCCUGGAGUGCACGCUUCAUACUAAAUCUUAAGGAAACAGGAGGGAUCAGAGUUAACUUUUCAGUAGCAUUCUCAUCAAAAGGCCAUAAAUAAGAGAAUGGUGUUCAGAGAAGUUUGAGGAGAGGUUAUCUGAGUAUAGGCACAUAAUGAAUAUGAUAAUGGAAUAAUCAGCUUUGAAAAAAAUUGAAAUUCCUUUGCUAAAAAAUAUAAACAUUACUGGAAGAGCACUUGCAGAGAUCAUUAGAAUAUUUUAAGUAGGAAUGACAUGACUAGGUUUGUGUUCAAAUGUGUAGUGAAUAAAUAGGAAGGGAAUUAAACA
rnacentral:lncRNA from 1 species